CCUACGGGUGGCAGCAGUGAGGAAUAUUGGUCAAUGGCCGAGAGUCUGAACCAGCCAAGUAGCGUGAAGGAUGACUGCCCUAUGGGUUGUAAACUUCUUUUAUAUGGGAAUAAAAUGUUCCACGUGUGGGAUUUUGUAUGUACCAUAUGAAUAAGGAUCGGCUAACUCCGUGCCAGCAGCCGCGGUAAUACGGAGGAUCCGAGCGUUAUCCGGAUUUAUUGGGUUUAAAGGGAGCGUAGGUGGAUUGUUAAGUCAGUUGUGAAAGUUUGCGGCUCAACCGGAAAAUUGCAGUUGAAACUGGCAGUCUUGAGUACAGUAGAGGUGGGCGGAAUGCGUGGUGUAGCGGUGAAAUGCUUAGAUAUCACGAAGAACUCCGAUUGCGAAGGCAGUUCACUGGACUGCAACUGACACUGAGGCUCGAAAGUGUGGGUAUCAAACAGGAUUAGAUACCCGGGUAGUC
rnacentral:rRNA from 1 species